UAAUACGGAGGGUGCAAGCGUUACUCGGAAUCACUGGGCGUAAAGGACGCGUAGGCGGGAUGCCAAGUCUGAUGUGAAAUCCUAUGGCUCAACCAUAGAACUGCAUUGGAAACUGGUAACCUAGAGUAUGGGAGGGGGAGAUGGAAUUAGUGGUGUAGGGGUAAAAUCCGUAGAUAUCACUAGGAAUACCUAAAGCGAAGGCGAUCUCCUGGAACAAUACUGACGCUAAGGCGUGAAAGCGUGGGGAGCAAACGGGAUUAGAUACCCCGGUAGUCCACGCCCUAAACGAUGUUCACUAGUCGUCGGAAAGCUUGUCUUUUCGGUGAUGCACUUAACAGAUUAAGUGAACCGCCUGGGGAGUACGGUCGCAAGAUUA
rnacentral:rRNA from 1 species